rnacentral:rRNA from 1 species
GUUAGGAAUAUUGGACAAUAGGCGCAAGCCUGAUCCAGCCAUGCCGCGUGAGUGAUGAAGGCCUUCGGGUUGUAAAGCUCUUUAGUCCACGAAUAUAAUGACUGUAGUGGAAGAAUAAGCCCCGGCUAACUUCGUGCCAGCAGCCGCGGUAAUACGAAGGGGGCGAGCGUUAUUCGGAAUCACUGGGCGUAAAGCGUGCGUAGGCUGUUUUGUAAGUCAGAAGUGAAAGCCCAGGGCUUAACCCUGGAAUUGCUUUUGAAACUACAAGACUCGAAUUCGGGAGAGGAUAGCGGAAUUGUCAGUGUAGCAGUGAAAUGCGUAGAUAUUGACAGGAACACCAGUGGCGCAAGCGGCUAUCUGGACCGAUAUUGACGCUGAGGCACGAAAGCGUGGGGAGCAAACAGGAUUAGAAACCCGUGUAGUCC